GACCUACCAUCUGGUUGGGGAUAACGAUUGGAAACGAUCGCUAAUACCGAAUGUGCCGAGAGGUGAAAGAUAGAUUGCCAGAAGAUGGGCUCGCGUCGGAUUAGGUAGUUGGUUAGGUAACGGCUGACCAAGCCUGCGAUCCGUAGCUGGUCUGAGAGGAUGACCAGCCACACUGGGACUGAGACACGGCCCAGACUCCUACGGGAGGCAGCAGUGGGGAAUUUUCCGCAAUGGGCGCAAGCCUGACGGAGCAAUACCGCGUGCGGGAGGACGGCUUUUGGGUUGUAAACCGCUUUUAUCAGGGAAGAAGAUCUGACGGUACCUGAUGAAUCAGCAUCGGCUAACUCCGUGCCAGCAGCCGCGGUAAUACGGAGGAUGCAAGCGUUAUCCGGAAUGAUUGGGCGUAAAGCGUCCGCAGGUGGUUGGGCAAGUCUGCUGUCAAAGCAUGGAGCUUAACUCCAUUUCGGCGGUGGAAACUGCGCGACUCGAGUUCGGUAGGGGUUGCGGGAAUUCCCAGUGUAGCGGUGAAAUGCGUAGAGAUUGGGAAGAACACCAGCGGCGAAAGCGCGCAACUGGGCCGAGACUGACAC
rnacentral:rRNA from 1 species